CGAUAAACAGAGAAGAGAGAGAGAGAGAGAGAGAGUCAGCUGAGAGGAGAGGCGGAGACGUGGCGCAUUUCACUCAAUAAUUAGAAGAAGAAAGGAGGAAAAUAAAGCGCCUACCAUUACGGAGAGGACAAAAUACGGCAGGAGGAGUGGAAAGCCUCCAAAUGGCAUUGAAUAAAAGGAGUGCAGUGUGUUGUAAGAGAGGAAUGGAGUGAGGGAGCAGAAAAGUAUCACCUCCGUCUGUCCACCAUUGCUGCCACCGCUGCCACCGCCACCAAGGAACCACCAUGGUUGUAAGCCGGAGCUUCAUUCUAACCUUAGGGACGGGAAUGUUCUGCGGUUUCCUAUCCUUCUAUCUUCUAAACAGCACAGUAACAGUCCACCCUCGGUAUAUAGAGGGCAUUAGCCCACCACAAAGCAUUUACAGCCACCCACACACCCAUGAAGACCUGGAGAAUGCUGCCGGGCCAGAGGGAAAUGUGGCCAUGCAUUCACACUCUGAGCCUCACCAUGCAGGAGAGGAUCUUGAGGCGGAGCAGCUCAAGGCCAAGGUACGAGUGUUGUGCUGGGUGAUGACCAACCCAAAGAAUCAUGAGAAGAAGGCCAGACACAUCAAGGCCACCUGGGCAAGACGCUGCAAUAAACUAGUCUUCAUUAGCAGUGUGGAAGAUAAAGAGCUGGGAACUGUGGCCGUCAAUGUAGGGGAAGGGAGGAACCACCUGUGGGAGAAGACCAAAGCUGCAUUCUCUUAUGUGUACACCAACCACUACAACGAUGCUGACUGGUUCCUCAAGGCUGAUGAUGAUACGUAUGUUAUAGUGGAGAACCUGCGCUACAUGCUGAGUCCCUACGACGCCAGCCAUCCCCUGUGGUUCGGGUGUCGCUUCAAGAAGUACGUGAAGCAAGGAUACAUGAGUGGAGGCGCUGGUUAUGUGUUGAGUCGGGAAGCACUCAGAAGGUUUGUGGAGCAAGGAAUACCCAACCCCAAGAAGUGCAGGCAAGACCAUGCAGGAUCUGAGGAUGUAGAAAUUGGUAAGUGCAUGCAGAACAUCGGAGUGCAGGCUGGGGAUUCAAGGGACAGCAUGGGACGCGGCCGGUUCUUCCCAUUCAUUCCUGAACACCACCUUGUGCCAGGCCACAUUGGACCCAAGAACUGGUACUGGGAUUGGAUCUAUUACCCCUCCAAAGUUGGUCUGGAAUGCUGCUCAGACACGGCCAUCUCCUUCCAUUAUGUGCUACCCAACAAAAUGUAUGAGCUGGAGUACCUGCUGUACCAUCUGCGUCCUUACGGCAUCAACCACCGCGACCCCUUCCCUCCCCCACUGCCCCCAGACCUCACCAGCAUCCCCCAGGAGGUGAUAGAGAAGUACACAAGGAACACCACACCAGCCAGUCCAAGUGAGACAGAGGAGAAGACACAGACUGAGAAAGAGACAGUGAGAGAGGCAGCAACAGAUGGCCAGGACCAGGAACCAUUGAAAGCCUCCACAGUGAUAGCAGCAGCAGACGUCAGGCCAAAACUAGUGUAGCAUUGGCAAGACAGAAGGCUCUCCUGCAACAGCACUCUUCAGUACAGGUUAGCAAGGCAGCUCCUUACCUGAGGCAACAUAGAUGCUCUGAGAAGAGGCAAACAGGUGUAGGAUGGCCUCGGGGGACCAGCCACUGUGGUGUAUAUGGCAUUAACAACACCAUUCAGGGGCCCAUACACAUAUGCAACACCCACGAGUAUUCCUGCCAUGGAGAAGUCAUCAAUGGAGUACUAGUGAGUGAAUUAAAAUGUUAUAUAAUAAAUUAACAAAGUUUGUAAUCCUGUACUAAAACUUAUCUCUUACUUUCAGUGAGAUUUUACAUUUCUUGUCAAUCUUAAGUCCUCUCGUCUAAACUUUCUCACCUAAAAAACUUUGGCAUUUCCAGUCAAUCUCAAGUAACAUAAGAAAAUAUUUGACUUCUUACCUGGACUACCUCUCCCUCUCAGCUUCCUUUCUCAGAGCUGCUAGUAAAGAGAAAAAGAGGAAACCCAACUUGGUGAAAAAUUACUCCUUUACUCUCAGCUCUUUAUAGGGUACUGGUGAAGAGAGGAGACAAAGGAGAGUCUAACCUGCUAAGUGUCCUAUGAAAGAGGCACGAGGGACCAGGAUGUGAAUGAUAAGCAGCUCAGCCCACACUGCAUACUUGGAGGGCACUGUGAACCACAUCACCUGGCUGUAGUAACUCCUCUCAUAGUGUGUGGUCAGCACCUUCAGGGCAAAGAUGACACCUG
rnacentral:misc_RNA from 1 species